rnacentral:misc_RNA from 1 species
CAACCAUCAAGCCCUGCUUGUGUUGGGGUCCUGCGGCUGCCCGCAGGCCCUGAAAACCAGUGGCGGGCUCGCUAGUCACACCGAGCGCAGUAAUACAUCUCGCUUUGGUCGUGCGGCGGGUUCUUGCCGUAAAACACCCCCCUUAACAAAGG